UACGUAGGACCCGAGCGUUAUCCGGAAUGACUGGGCGUAAAGAGUUGCGUAGGUGGUCAGUAAAGCGAAUAGUGAAACCUGGUGGCUUAACCAUUCAGACUAUUAUUCGAACUCACUGACUCGAGAAUGGUAGAGGUAACUGGAAUUUCUAGUGUAGGAGUGAAAUCCGUAGAUAUUAGAAGGAACACCAAUGGCGUAGGCAGGUUACUGGACCAUUUCUGACACUGAGGCACGAAAGCGUGGGGAGCGAACCGG
rnacentral:misc_RNA from 1 species